rnacentral:lncRNA from 1 species
GGGUAUAGAAUUUGAAGAAAAAAAAUUGUUUUUUUUUUCAAAUUUAUUAUUGCUGAAGUGUUAAUUGUCACAUAAUUUGCAGUGCAAAAUGUAAAUCAAAAUGAAGGAUUCCAUUUUCUGUACUCUGGCACUCGCAACCCUUGAAGCUUCGUCACUCAUCAGGCUCUACACCAUUCCAACCGAAUCAAUACCUAGCAGCCUUUAAGAUGGGCUCAGUCAUCUGCAACAGAUAUAAAACUUAAACUCAGUAAUAAGAGCUACGAUCAGAUUCAGAGAAAGACAAAUAAGAUCUCACCACAAGAUAUCAAACUGCAGUUUCAAUACAGUCCAGUCACAGCAAAAGGCAAUUCAGACACAAGACAAGCUCCUCAGUCUUGUGUAUGAGAAUGCACUCUCGAAGAAAGAAGAAAUAAACAUGCAUACCUGAUAAUUAAGAGAAACAUAAGCUUUAAAAUUGGUUCAGACAUGAGCUUUAAAAUUGUUCUAAACCAAAGGAACGAACUCUGGCCAUCAUCAACGAACCGAACAGCUUUACGCUCCCUAACAUAAAAAAUCAGCAUAAGCUAAUGCUUACAUGAUACUAAAACUGUCUCUUACAAAAGAUAUUCAUACAAAACAUAACUCAUUUUCUCGGGCAAGAUAUAUACGAUCCCAAACGUCCAUAGAAACAGAGACGAACACAAUGAAAAGCAAUGCCAAAAUGCUUCGGCCUUUUGAGAUGAUACGCUGGAUUCAUAUAUCUCCAUAGCCCAGAACCAGUUAUCGAUCUACCUAUUGCAAACAAAUCCAAUUUCCCCUCAGAUACAAACAUCAUAAGCCUGAGACUGUGUUCAUGCUUAGAGGGUCAACACUCAAUUUUUUAAGCCAUCUUCAACACAAGAGCCAAAAGAAAAGAGUCUUACCUCAGAGGCAACAGGUUACCUGAAGUUAAACUUCACAACGAUUUCCUUAAUCUCAUCGUCAAACUCAGGUUGCUCUGGAAACAAAGAUCAGAAAUCACAAACCCUAGAAAAUCUCCUUGGAAUCAGAAGCACCAGAAAUGUCUGCUUCUUCUACAAAAGAAACAGAGUAGCUAAAAGAAAUUGUGAGACCAAAUCUAAGGAAAGCCUCAAAGGAACAAGCUUUAGCUUAUAAACAUACAAGAGACGUUACCAGGCUUGCAGAAAGGCAGCCGAUGUUACCGUCACUGAAACUCCGGCAGAAUCUCCGUCGUGGCUCCGUCUCCUCCUCCGCUAAUACUUUUCAAUCUCUAGAUUUAGUUUCGCUGAUUCGAUUUCAGUAAAUCGAUUAAAGGGAAACUUAGAGAAAGAGAUGACCCAUAAUAGAAGAAGAUGGAGGAUGAAGAAGCUCGAUUGAAGUAAUGGAGACAAGUUUUUUUUUUUUUUUUGUUCACGAACGGAGAAGAAGAUAAAAUAGAGGACUGAGGUUUUUUCUUCUUCUGAAGAAAAAAAAACGAAAAGAACUAGAGAAAAAAAAAUAGUUAUACUAAAACAAAAUAUUUUGGUGGCAAAAGUUAUUUUUUUCACUAAGGCUUCGAAUGG